UACGUAGGGGGCGAGCGUUGUCCGGAUUCAUUGGGCGUAAAGAGCUCGUAGGCGGCUUGUCAAGUCGGGUGUGAAACCUCCAGGCUCAACCUGGAGACGCCACUCGAGACUGUCAUGGCUAGAGUCCGGUAGGGGAUCACGGAAUUCCUGGUGUAGCGGUGAAAUGCGCAGAUAUCAGGAGGAACACCGGUGGCGAAGGCGGUUCUCUGGGCAUGAUCUGACGCUGAGGAGCGAAAGUGUGGGGAGCGAACAGG
rnacentral:rRNA from 1 species